rnacentral:lncRNA from 1 species
GCCAUCCAACCGUAAUGAUCAGCUUCUAGGAGCUCAUCCUGGGAUCCACCGUUCACACUCUUCUGCGGGAUUUAGACCAGUAGACUUUCAUCAACAGCAGCAGGGGCCACCCUUUGAGGAUCACUUUAGUCAUCUUGAGCGGAACCUUUCAUAUCAGCAACAACUUAAUCAGGAAUUAUUCGAGCAAGGUCUACCCUUUGAGCGAUCUACAUCGUUACCCAGAAAUACAUCGGGGCUGAAUCUGGAUGCAGUAAAAGGUCUUAACUUCUCUGAGUUGCGGGAUGCCCAGAUGCAAUCCUCUGGUAGAUUAGGAAAUUCUACUCCGGGUUUCAGUCAUCAGAAUCCCCAUAUACAAUUAGGUGAACCUCAUUUUUCAGAAAUGGAACCAAGGAAAGAACGCUGGCAUGGAGCAGAUACACAGCUAGCUGGUGGCUGGGCUGAAACUCAGUUUCAUAGACCAAAUACUGAAGCUGACCAUCAUAAAAUGAGGUCAGAAAUGAGGAGAGCUGGCGAAGAUUCCAACUCAUGGAUGGUAGAUGGACAUACGGAUGAAAAGUCAAAACAGCUUUUUAUGGAGUUGCUUCACCAGAGGCCUGGCCAUCAACCUCUCGAGUCACCAAGCAUGAAUCGUGGGGAACCCUAUGACAGGAUGGCUGCUUCAGGCUUCGGCUUUGCAGACCAUGGUGGUAGGCAAAACGCUUCAUCUUCUUUUGGGUCGCACACAUCUUCUGAUGAACAUGUAAACGGAUUACCAGGAGAUAGGAACUAUAUGGGAUCGUUGCAGCGUGAUAAUUCAUUACUUUCUGGAAGUACCGAUGGUGGAAGAAAAAAUGAAACUAAAGACUUCAGUAAUAUGCUUGGUAUGAGCAAAGACGUGAAUGACAUCAGAACGUGGAACAAUGCACCACCGAAAAAGGAAGGAGCGGGGUUGAUGUCAUUUGAAGCACAAGACAGAAUGGGAAAGCAAGCAGUAAUGGAUUCCUUGGUUCAAGGGGAGGUUCCUGUUGCUACGCUUGGCAGACAGUCUUCUUCCAGUAUCUCUGGUAUGUAUCUUCCAGAGUUUAGAUUUCCUUUUCCCUGAAUAUAUCAUGUUUUUUUUUGUUAUGGGGGCUUAUGUUGAUAUUUUCUUUCUGCAGAGUCAUACAGUGACAACUUGGUUGGAGAAGUUAGAAAGGAUAGGUAAUUUUGUACUCUUAACGUUUAGCAACCGUAGAUUAGGUUAGUAGUAAAUCGCCAUGUGAGCUCUUAUUUGAUUAAAUGUUUUUAUUGUUAUAGGUUGGUAGUUCCAUCACACGGGCAGGUAUCAGUUUUGUUAAAAAGGCCUCCCUCAUCGCAUGAGGGAUUGCUCGAGCAGAUGUCCGAUGCAACUAACAGAACAGCAGUGGGAAAUAAAGGGUCAAAGGCGUCGUUCAGUGAGAUGUUGAAGAAUAGUAGUAGCAAUAGCAGCAUGAAGAAAGUGGCAGCAGAGCCAUCUUCUGAUCCAAACGAAGGAAACAAAGGCGGUGGUGGGAAGAAGAAAGGCAAGAAAGGGAGGCAGCUUGAUCCAGCUCUUCUCGGUUUCAAAGUCACUAGCAAUCGCAUUCUUAUGGGUGAAAUUCACCGCGCUGAUGACUUUUAGUCAAUUCUGAUACCCUGAGAUCCAUUCAAGCGUUUCUUCUUCUCCGGCGUAAUCAUGGUAUAAUUCGAUCUUUGCCUAUAAGUAAACCCUUCUUAUGUUUUUGUUUCUCUUUGAUUUUUGAUGGUCAAUGCUUUUCUCUUUGUUUGAAAUAUGAAUCACGUGAACAUUGUUUCAACUAGCUAGAUGAGUCCUAAUAAUAUCUUUACAAAAUCACAUAUUUUUCGAAAUUUGAAUUGGAUUAGCUUACUUAUAUCUGCAUUAUUGUGGAUUGUUUACUUGAUUUUUUUUUUUGUUGAGUGUGAAUGAAUACUUGAUCCGGGAUGAACCAUUACUAACUACAAUCAUGGUGGAUCCGGGAUAUGAUAUUGAUUGAUUUGGUUAUUGCAGAAAACUUACAAAGCUGACUCGCAGACAGGAAAGUGGAGAAGUUUGACAACGUUUAUAAAGAGAGGUUUUGUUCCUGAGACCACUACGUGUACGUUUAUGUGUAUCUCUUUAAGAUAACCUGUAAGGAACCAUGGUCUGGAAUAUGAAUCAUUCCUGUAUACAAUGUGUAUGUUACAGCUCUCUUCCAGAUCAUGAGGACUGCAGCUAGCGGAGAUACGGCAUAAACCGAAUCACAUUCAAGCUAGAAGAAUCAAGUUUAGAAAUGAAUCAUUCUUCUGUCUUUCUCUUCUUUUACCGUAGAAUGCAACUUUAUGUUUACUUGUGCAUGCUAAUGUAAUAAAUAGUAUUUUCUACAAGUUAUCAUAUCUUCAAGUUAGUUCACUUGGUACGACCCACACGCAGUUGAUACCCUCUCUGUAUACAAGGAGCAAGUGUAGUUUCCACUAGAUCUCGUCAAGUCUUAUGAGGUUGAUUACUCACAGGUUUAAGGAGUUCUGACCAGGUACAGAGAGAUUAAAGGGAAGCAUGUGCGCACGUGGCAUGAUACUCGGGAUCGUUAGCCGAGAAAUCAGAUACGAUUUUUUAGUAUAUCCUUUUUCCGAAUUUUAAAAUAAUAAAAACUUUAAAUAACUAUUGCUCAACAACCUUAGAAAAGAGCUUGUUCUUAUAUAAAAAUCUCAACUAUCUUCAUCAUGCCUAUGUGGGAUUCUCCACUUUGCCAUUAUUACAUUUUUUCGGGCUUUAGACUGUACGAAGCCCAAGUCAUUCUCUUCACACAUUAACUAAAGCCCAAUAGCAUUUAAUUGGCCCAAUAAGAAUAGCAAAUUUCGAUCCACUUUUCUAGGUUUGCGAAGGUAAAGUUGAAACGAGGAGGACCAUAAAAACCAACUCGAAAGGCAAUUAAAAACAAAAUAAUAGAAAUUUUCUUCAAGAUCGCGAUCUUCAAUCCCGAAUCCCUAAUCCAUUCAAGCUUCUCCUCUCUUCUCCGGCGUAAUCAUGGUAUACUUCCUGUAAAGUCAACCCUUCCCUUUUUGUUAAAUCUGUGCAGCUUCUUCUUCUCUCUGUAACUCCGAUCUCCCAGAUCUGAUUCACGAGCUUAACUAUCAAUGUUUGAAUCACGCGAAGUUUGUUUUCAAUUAGCUAAAUUGAGAUCCUAAUUUCGAAUCGGAUUAGCUGAAUUUCUUUUACUCUUUGUUUUGUGGUUGUUAGGACGUUCGAUCUCCUGCUCCCGUUCCCGUUGGAUCUCGGCGGCGUGAUAACAAGUGGUCAUCUCGUUGGGGUCCUGACGAUAAAGAGAAAGAGAAAGAAACCAAGGUUGACUACAACAACAAGGACAACAAGGAGGAGGCUCAGAGUGAAACUCAAUCUGUGAUUGGGAGCCUCCGUGAGUCUGAGACUCGUGAUAAAUGGAGGCCACGUCAUCGGAUGGAGCAGGUCCAGAGUGGUGGACCAGCUUCUUACCGUGCUGCGCCUGGGUUUGGACUUGAUAAAGGACGAAGUGAGGGUCCAAACAUAGGGUUCACCGUUGGUCGGGGUAGGGCGAGGGGUACUUGGUCUGCUUUCUUUGGCGCUGGAGGGUUCUUGAGAAACGAAAGCGUUCCUGGUAAACCUGCGCCUACGUGUCGGUAUGUGAGGGGGAAGUUGCUUGACUUGUAUAGAAACCAGAAGCCUGAUAGGAUGCCUAUUGAUAUGGAGGAGGUUGAUUCUGUAACUCAAGUGGCUUUGAUUGAACCUCUUGCUUUUAUUGCCCCUGGUGUUGAAGAAGAGGUAUGAUCCUUACUUGAGGACUUGCUUUUUUCCUUUCUCAUGAGUGUGUCAUUGUUUUGUAACUAAUUUUCAUGUGUUUAUGGUCUGGGUGUUAUAUAUUUAUUUCAGGAAAGCCUUAAGGGUAUAUGGAAGGGUAGGAUCACUAGUAGCGAAGCUCACACUUCACCUGGGGAAGAAUCUUUAGCUGAGGAGAGUAUGGGUAUGUGUAAUCUUGUUUUUUCGUUGCUUUGCUUCUAUCUUUCCAACUAGCUUGGAUAAUGAAUGCUUCUGUGACUUGAUUCAGGUGAGACGAAAGUGGAUGGUGCUUUGCUAGGGGUUAUGAGUGGUGACAGUGUUUCCAUGCAUAAUAGUAAUUCAGGUAUGUGAAUAAUAGGUGCUAUACGGGUAUUCAAAUUCAUGAGUAUUAAAGCUUAAGUCCAUUGUUAUGAGUUUGAUGGUAUUUUAGUGUUCUAUUAUAUAUUCUGACCCAUAUCCAAACAACUGUUGCUGUAGGAGUACUUGGUAGUCAUAAUGGAGGCUUGUGGGGUGCUUCUGAAAGUGAUCAAGUUUCUCGUGGAAGUCCUGAAGCAGUUAGAUCUGCUUUUGAUAAAUCUUCUGUGUUGGAUGCGGAUGAACCCAUUGUUACGGGAAAGCUGCAGCAACCUGAUAUUGAAGUGAAUCACUCCGAAGGGACUCUGCCACCUGAGGAGUUUAUGUUCUCGUACAUUGAUCCUCAAGGAGUAAUACAGGGACCGUUCAUUGGAUCUGACAUUAUUUCAUGGUUUGAGCAAGGGUUUUUUGGGACUGAUCUACAGGUCCGCUUGGCAACUGCUCCAGAAGGGACUCCUUUUCAAGAUCUAGGCAGUGUCAUGUCGUAUUUAAAGACGGAAAGUAUGCAAGCCCACAUCAAUGAUCAAAUCAUCGAGCUAGAACAGACCAGUAGAAAAGCAAAUUCGGAGAUUGGUUUAUCAUUUGCACCCGUACAAGAAUCUAAUGGUUCAGCCUUAGGUCACGAUAAUGUUCAAAUACAGUCUAAAUCAGAAGCUUAUGUGAAACCACCACAUGUUGAUGACCGAAGUUUCUUGGACUUCUCUGCUCAAGAUGAAGGUUUGUUAUUCUACUGACAUUUUCUCACUUGUGUGCAUUUGUGUGGGUUUUUGUAUACUAAACAUACUUUUUGUAUUUUUUUCUUAAUCAGAAAUCGUAUUCCCAGGAAGAGCAAGAGUUUCUGGUUAUGGAUCGGCAAAAUCCUCUACAAGUAUGCAUGAUGCUUUAAUGGGAGUUUCUGGCCACCCUGCUAUUCCUGUUGAAUCAGCGAAGGUUGCUACUCAAAAUCAGAAUGAGAACAAGCUGCAUCCAUUUGGUGUGUUGUGGUCUGAGCUAGAGAGCAGUAGUACACCAGUUGAUCUUUUGCCUAACAGAUCGUAUGAUGACCAGAAGUAUCUUGAUCAAGCUCAGGAUUUGGAUCAUUUAACUCUCCAAUUGCAGCAGCAGCAGCAACAAAAGAUUCAGUUGCAACAUCAGCAGCAACAGAAGAUUCAGCUGCAACAGCAGCAGAAGAUUCAGCUACAACAACGUCAACUAGAACAAGAGUACCAAUUACAACAGAAGCUCUUACAGGAGCAACAACAGUCCCAUGCUCGGAAUUUACAUUUUCAACAGAUUCUUCAAGGACAGACUCCUGAUUCGAGACUUGGGCAGUCACAUGACUUCCAUCGACUCAACAAUGUUGAUCAGAUGUUAUUAGAGCAGCAACUAAUGGAUGAAUUGCAGAGUUCUGGCCAUAGAUCACAAAAUUUUACACCAUACAUGGAGCAGCUUGCCGCUGGAAAUUUUGGGCAGUUACAUCAUGAAGGUCAUCAAAAAGAGCUACUUGAACAGCUACUUUCCGAACAAAUGCAAUCUCAAUACAGACAGAUGCAUUCUCAACAUGGCCACAUGCAAUCUGAACCAAUACGGUCUUUGGAGUACCAGCUACUACAACAAGAGCAGCUCAUGCGAUUGGCAAAUGGAGGGAGGCAAAAUACACUAUUGGAGGAACUGAGACAUAUUGACCCUCAACAUGGACAAAUGCAGUCUGAACCAAUACGGUCUCUGGAGUACCAAAUAAUGCAGCAAGAGCAGCUCAUGCAAUUGGCAGAUAGAGCGAGGCACAAUACGCUAUUGGAGGAACAUAGACAUAUUGAUCCUCUAUGGCCAUCCAACCGUAAUGAUCAGCUUCUAGGAGCUCAUCCUGGGAUCCACCGUUCACACUCUUCUGCGGGAUUUAGACCAGUAGACUUUCAUCAACAGCAGCAGAGGCCACCCUUUGAGGAUCACUUUAGUCAUCUUGAGCGGAACCUUUCAUAUCAGCAACAACUUAAUCAGGAAUUAUUCGAGCAAGGUCUACCCUUUGAGCGAUCUACAUCGGGGCUGAAUCUGGAUGCAGUAAAAGGUCUUAACCUCUCUGAGUUGCGAGAUGCCCAGAUGCAAUCUUCUGGUAGAUU